rnacentral:lncRNA from 1 species
UUUCAGCAUUUGUUUUAAAAAAAAGAACCUUCCUCCCUCUCUUUUUUUCUCUCUGCAGAAGCCUUAGGCCGAUCAGAGCUCCAGCGAACCGCUGCCGCGACCACCGCCCUCGACCGCUGUGCACAGUUGUUGGAGCUCGGAAAGAAGCCCCCUUUUUAGUCAAUCGGAGAAUAGGUAAUAAAUCCCUCUCUUUUUUUGUGUGUGUUUUUGAUAUAUAUAGGUAUAUAUAUAUAAUUUCCGAAAAAGAAAAUAAAAAUAAAAUGAAGAGGUACCCUUAGCACGUCUCAAACUUUGGAUUCUCUUUCGAAAUUCUUGUUUUUUUUUUUGUAUCUUUCUCUGUUUUUUAUUUCAAAAAAUCCCCCUUUUACAUUGAUAAACGAUGGCUUUUUAUAGUCGAUUAUGUUACAUUGUUUGCUACUAUUCAUGCACUAUUUAUUUCCUAUUUUUGCGCUGCUGUUGCGUGUUCUUCUUCUUAUUUGUAGAAUGAUUGAUGGCGGUGGAGCAAGUGGCUGACAGAGGAGUGCGGGGUGCUUGAACAUGCGGCUAGGGUUUUCUUUCUUUCUUUUUUUUUUGGCUAAAAAUGUUUAGGUUGUGGGCUUUUGGACUGCUAGAGUUUUUUAGGUUUUGGGCUAGUGUUUAAUUUUGGUUUGGGCUUGUAAUUUAUUGGGCUGUGUUUGUAAUUUAGACUUUGGAUUUAUUAUUAUUAUUUUAUAUUUGUAAUUUGUCUUAAGCCCAGGCCAAAAUUAACCUUUUACAAUGAGUGACACCAAUUCAAUCAAAAUCUUUAUAUAUAACAUAGAUAAUUUAGUACAAAUUACACAUUCAUUGUGUGAAAAUUAAUAAAUAAAAAUACGUAAAAGCAAAAGUAA